GCCACAUAAAGGAAGAGCAGUGACUCUCGAGAGCUGGCAUCCCAGGGUGACUUCACCAUGGGCUGUCAUCGCUGAGGCCAUAAAAAGCCAAAAGCACUACCCUUGAGUCAUCCUAGCCCCUUGGAGCCAAAAACGUAGCAACGUCACGUCUGUAGUUGACCUCGGUUCCGGGCACCUUCCUGAGCAUUCUUCGGGAGGCACUUGUGAAACUCAGCCCAGGUGCUGCCCAGGAUCAGGAGGCUGAGACGUGAUCUGGAAGUGAGUGCCCAUCCAUACACCUUCCCCAGCUUUGGGGCCACAGAGGGACAGAAACCGCAGGCAGGCUGGCCUGGGAAUGAACCUACACCAGCCUGAAGUCAGAAGAGCCUCUAGGAGCCUCCAGCCUGGACUCUUUUUACAGAUGGGGAAACUGAGUCCCAGAGAGGGAGCAAUGAAGGAUGUCUAAGGUCAUCAGCAACGUAAAGCCAACAGCAUCAUCCUGAGUCAUGUUUGAACCUGAGGGAAAGAAACAUAUGUUCGAAGAGGUUCUGAGGCUGCUGCACCCGAUAUCAUACCUGGUUGGCCCUGGGAAAGGGCCCACCUCCAAUACAUAAACACAACCAGCUUUGACAGGGAGCCCAGCUGGGACAAUGUGUGAAUCAACGCAUGAAGGAGUGAGUGAGCAGCUAACCAAAUGAAAGAAUACUCAGAUAUCUGGGGUACAGUUCCCCUCCAGGUUUGCACAGCAUCUGCUGAAGUCUCCACUAGAAACUCAAUGGAAGGUCCCCACCGGAAACUGAAAGUCUCCUAGAGUGGCUUUGAGUUGCGGUUUCACCCUCCCUGCAGAUCCACAGGGGAGGCUGGGGCAGAUGGAAAAUACCAACUUGAUGGUCUGUGGCCACACCAUGCUGCUCCCCAAGGCCCCUCAGAAUUUCACUGCCCAAUAUGGUAGCGCCCAGCCUGAAACGUGGCCAGUGUGAAUUGAGAUGGGCUGGAAAUGCACCAGACUUCCAAGAGCUGGACAAAAACCAUAUACUUUCCAUCCAGCUGUUUGGCAUUGGAUACUGCUGCCUCUGCUUGACUUGAGAAUGUGUGAGAAAAGCUGUGUUUAGACAACUGAAAACCAUGAGCUUGAAAGUAGUGGGGGCACACUCUUGGAGACUCCAGUUGCUCACCAGCUUGGACAAACCACUGGACUCAAAUGAUCAGGUAGAAAUUCAUCACUGGAGAGAACACAGUGGAAUGGCUUCAGCGAAAACUCACUCUGAAGGUCUUCAGGGCAACUUUAAGACUUGCCCCUGGCCGGGCACAGUGGCUUAUGCCUAUAAUCCCAGCACUUUGGGAGGCCGAGGCGGGUGGAUCACCUGAGGUCAGGAGUUCAAGACCAGCCUGGCCAAUAUGGCGAAACCCUGUCUCUACUAAAAAUCCAAAAAAUUAGCCGGGCGUGGUCGUGGGCGCCUGUAAUCCCAGCAACUCGAGAGGCUGAGGCAGGAGAAUUGCCUGAACCCGGGAGGCAGAGUUUGAAGACAGCCGAGAUUGCACCACUGGGCAACAAGAGCAAAACUCCAUCUCAAAAAAAAAAAAAAAAAAAAAAAUACUUGCCCCGGCUUUUUGUGUGAUGGACUUUCUAUUUACAGACGUGAUAUUUAUCUAUGACUUUACUCAGAGUCUGGCUCAUAGACCAGAAGGACUGGUAUCUCCUGGAGCUUGCAGGAAAUGCAAAAUCUCAAACCCCUGUAUUAGUCAGGGUUCUCCAGAGAAGUAGAGCCAAUGGGAUAGAGACAGGGAUAGGGAUGAUAGAGAUGGAGAUAGAGGUAGAGAUCCAUUGAUUCCUCUGUUAAUAAAUUGGCUCAUGCAGUUGUGACAAUUUCGAAAUCUGCAAGGUAUGUCAGCAAGCUGGAGACCCAGGGAACAGUUGAUGUUGCACCUUGAGUACAAAGGCAGUGUGUCUGGAGCCAUAAUAUCUUCUUGUUAGGAAGACUUUGGUCUUUUCUCUUCUGGCCUUCAACUGCUUGGGUGAGGCCCGUCCCCACUACAGAAGACAAUAGUCUGUUCUACUCAGAGUCUACUGAUUUAAAUGCUCAUCUCAUCCCAAAAAAUACCCUCACAGCAACAUUUAGCCUGUGCAUUUGACCAAACAACUGGGUACCAUGCCCCCCCUCCCAAGUUGACACACAAAAUUGACCAUCAUACCCUCCCCACCCCCAGUCUUACUGAAUGAGAGAGAAUCUGUGCUUCAACAAGAUCCCCAGAAGAGGUAUAAGCGCAGGGAAGUCUGAGAAGCACCACCUUUGAGGCUUAUCCAGGAUGCCCACAUGAGCCUUCUCUGGAUAUGUCAGAUCCCCUUCCUGGCCCCCUAGACACCUCCUCCACUCCCCAAACUUGGAAGCAACAUUGUGGGGAAGCAGGCAGUGAGGCGCUCAGUCUACCACGUUGUGAGAUACACAGCUCCAUCUGUGUAUCAUGAUUUGAUCCAAGGGAAAACAAAAGAUCCAGAAACAUAAGUACUUUUUUGUGAGCUCUCAAAAACUUCCUGUGACAAGAUCAGGUCGUUGAUGCGAGAGCCACACUUGUUUCUUUUUCCUCUUUAUUCUCCACCUCUGACAUAAUACUUAGCAUAAAAAAAAAUCCAAUAAACACCACUGAAUCAAUUAUCUAAGCCUCAGUUUCCCUCUUGUAAUAUGUACUUACCUGGUUGUGGUAGGAAAGACACCAGGCAUGAGAAACACUUAAAAGCCCAGGACCCUGAGCUGGGCACAUGGUAGGUACUCAGGAAGUCAUUGCCGAGUGUUCAGUGCAUGCUUGUUGAAUGAGUAAAUGAGGUCAGGCUUCAGCAUGCAAACACUCGCUAUAAAGCAGGAACCCUGUGCCCUGAGUGCACAAAAUAGAUAUCGAGAAGGAACACAGGCUCAGACAUCAGUGCCAUAUCUGAAGACAUUCAGCUAAUAACAGGAUGGAGUCCAAUCUGCUGGUGUGUGCACACCUGUGCCUGGGUGUCUUUGCUGGUGUGUGCACAUGUGUCUACAUGUGUGGUCGUGAGAGUACACACAGGGGCUGGAGGGUGGGGAAGGGCUUAAUCUAAUCCUGAAAGUGCCAGCAGAACUCUUGGGUGUCCCUCAAAGUCAAGCUUCUUUCCAGGUCAUCGAAGUUUUCACUUGGGUAAUAAUGCACGCAUAAUUAACUGAACAAAUAUAAUGAAUCUAUCUGUAGUGACAUGAUAGUUGGUGCUGAAUCCUAUUAGAGCACAUUUAAUUAAAAAUGCAUUAAACCUUCAAGCUUCUAAACACACCCUGCGCUUCUUCAAAGCCGCCCCUCCGUUAAAGUCUUCCCCACUAUUAACUAUGAGUCAGCCUGUGACCCUUUGGGCAUGACGGGGUGAGGUGAAGUGGCUCUUAAAUGCCUGUGCCAGUAUAUCACAGGCACUAAUGGAUUUAAAUCAGGGAGAUUAAUUCCAUUCAUUCGGCUCCUCAUUUCAGAAACAACUGUCACGCUGAGCCUAAUUGCUGAAGAUGGUUGAAGGCACCAGGAGGCUGGAGUUUCCUGGAGGUGGUUUGUGGCCAACCGUCAAUUACUUGGGCUGCUGUGCAGUGGGGAUAGAAGGAUGAUUAGAAUCCACAGACAACCCAUUGGCCUUUGUUUACCAUUAACUUCUGUUUUCUCCACCAGCCAAGCUCCUCCAGACCCAGGAGAUGGCUCUUCCCUCUGUGUAGCACACUCUUUCCAGUCAAGGGGUCUUGCACUGCUAUUUCCCCUUCUGCUUUGCUUGGUUCAUUCUUACUGACCCUCCAAAUACUGAAGGAAUGAAUGGAGAAAUAAGUAAAUGAGAGAUGUGGCCAAGAGUCUCCAAGAGAGGAAAUUAAAAAAUCCUAUACCUGUGAGGAACUGGCCCACUUGCAAAAGGCGGACUCAUUUGUCACUGUGUUUGCUGGCUGCUCGCACCACACAGUUUCCAGCCUAGGCAUUAUUUCCAACCUCUUUUUCCAAAGGGUCUUUCUAAGGUACAGAAAAUGGACAUAAAAUCGCCCAACGUAGUUGAGAGGUAAGGAGUAAAAGCCGGAAUUUGAACUCCUAAUCUCCUGCCACGAUUUCAUGCUGCCUCUGGGUAAUCUCCCAGCACGUUGCUUAAUCAGCUGCUGAGUCAUUGAGAGCCGGCAGAACCAGCUUCCUGCUGAGGCAGAGUGGGAGGAGGCCCGUCUGGGAGCAGCACACUGAAGGAAGGGAGGAGGAGGUGAUGUUUGGCACAAUCGGAUUGGUUCCCAUGAGGUCCAGGGCUGCGGCUCCUACAGAAGGCACUUUUUGCAUAUGGUAGGCUUCACGGGGUGCAACCUCUGUGUUGUUAGGAGAACCUCGUGCUUGCUAUGAUGCUCUGCUGUCAUUAUCUUGAAAUUCUUAGUCACAUUAAAACACGGGAGCCUACAUGUUUAUUUUGCACUGGAUCCUGCAAAUUAGCCAGUCCUGGUACUGAGGGCAGGUCCCUGGGUGAGUCUCACACAGCCUCCAUCCUUUGGUAAAGCAGCUUUCCUGAUUUAGCAAAUGCCUUACCAGAAAGCCUUUUCCUUGAAGAUGCUUUAACUUUUGUCUUCCCUGGCAAAGCUGUUUCCUUAUGGUAAAGCACCCAGCUCAUAGCUGAUAUUCAAUCCAUGAAGUAGCUCUGUCAGCAGCUGUCAUCAUGAAGACUUUGCAGCCUGCGGGUGGUAGCAUUCUGAAUCGUCAGUCUGUCUCGCUCCUGUAGCAAAUGCACGAUCCGGGAAAGCAUGUCCCAAGCUUUGUUCUGGAGAAGAUUUCUCCAGCUAUCAGAUGGUGUCUGUCAUCACAAUAGCUUAGGAGAUGCUGCUCACUCCAUCCUCCUCACUAAGUGUCACAGUACACUUGGGUAUGUACAAGUCUCUGAGAAGUCCAGCAGCAAAGACACCUUUGUGUUUUGCUGAUUCUAGCCUUUCCUAGACUAGAAGUCUUUUUUUCUAGUCUAGGAAAAGACUGUGGAAUCUUUUCUUUUUUUUCCUGAUACACACAUUCACAUUCCGUGGAACAUUUAGGACGUGGUUAUCUGGUCCUAAAGUAGUAAAGGUGAAGAUGUUGUGGGAGGUGCAAGAAAGAGCAGCAAGGAGUAGAUGGGGCACACUGCAAAGUGCGAUCCCCACAUACCUAAGUUAGUAUCAAUUACUACUAACAAAACUCGGCCAAGACUCUUUUGCAUUCGUUUUGUUUCUCUCUUUUACCCUGAUUAUAUUAAGAAAUAUGACAGGCCUGUGACUCACUGAUUAGACCAUCUUAGUCACUUUGGGUUGUCCCAGCAACAGGAGACUUAACUCUGACCAUAGGUAAGGAGCCCAGAGGACAGGAGAGCAGGGAUUUCUGAGGAUUUAACAAAUGCUUAUAAACAAAUGAUAUCACUUUGAACAAAGUAAUCAAAGUAUCAAAUGCUAUAAACACCACAGUAGGGCAAUGUGUGAAUCAUACUUGUGGUGAGACAUACAUAGAUCAGCUGCAAAGAGGAACUCAAUUCUGCAGAACCUCAGCUGGAGUAACUGAUGUGAAACAUGGACAGGGAAAUGGAAGGAAGUCAGCGGACACGGAAACUCUAGGAACUGAACUUUGACAAGGAACGCCGUCCAUAAUCCCAAGUCCUAUGACUUCAUAGAGGAAAAAAACCCUAGUGGAGCAGAACAGGGCCUCAUAGAGGGGCUGGGGCCUCACUGAGGGCUGGGAAGUUUGAUAGGACUUCCCUUGCUGGUAAGGAACAAAACUGGGUCUCAGGUUCAGGUUUGUAAAGCUAAUUUCAUACAUUUGCAGCAGAUGCUGUCAGUGUCCCUCCCCAAGCCCCUCAGCACUCAGCAUUCAUAGACAUCCUCAUCUUGCAAGCACCUGAGUCUCUCUCUGUAAGGUUUCUGUUGGCCUCAGGGCAGACCAGGGUACCAGGGAGGGCAGACCAGGGUACCAGGGAGCACAGCCCUCAAAGAAAGAUGACAGGAGUUGGUGUAAAUCUCAUGGCUUUCAUGUUACUUAGGGGGACCAAUGCUGAGGCAUGCUUAGCAUGAUCCUCUGUGAGACUGGGCCUCAGGUGUCCGCUGCAGCCGCCUGUUCAUUAGUGUGACAUGCACGGGAUUCCUUCCGUAUCCUGGCCCCUUUCUCUACUUCCCAACCGUGCUUCCUGAGACAUACUCAAAUCCUUGUCUCACACUUGGCUUCUGGGAGAAUCCAACUGCAAAUGCUGUGUUUUAUUUUUUAUUUAUGUAUUUAAUUAUUUGGAGAUAGGGUCUCCCUCUGUCACCCAGGCUGGAGUAAAAUGGCACAAUCCUAGCUCACUGCAAUAUUAAACUCCUGGGCUCCAGUAAUCCUCAGCCUCCAGGAGCUGGAACUACAGUCGUGCACAGCAAUGCCAGCUAAAGUUUCCUUUAAAUUUUUUGUAGAGUCAAGAUCUCACUAUUUCAGUCAGGUCUUGAACUCCUUGCCUCCCAAAGUUCUGGGAUUACAGCACUUGGCCUCCCAAAGUGCUGGGAUUACAGGCGUGAGCCACUGCAUCUGGCUGUUUAUUCCAUUAAAAUGAUUGAAGGAGUCUCUUGCUUUGGGAAUUUUGCUCCCGUGGUGAGAACACUAUGGGAAUGACAUCUCAAGAAUAUGGCUCCUUCAAAUGAAUUUAAAAUGGUCUUUCUAUUUUUGUCCAGUGGUUACAAUAGCUGAUGGGCUCGAGGUAAGGAGAUGCUAAGCUGCCAUUCUCUCCUUCAACCCAUGGCAUUUACUGAGCUUCUAAAUCAGUCAGGCCCUGGGCUGGACCCUGGGCAUGCAGACUGAAUCAGAGCCUUCAGGACUAGCAGGAGAGACAGGUAUAUAUAGUGGCAAGGGCAAUAUUUAUUCACUCAUUCAUUCUUUUUCCUUUUUUAUGUGCCAAAUCUUUAAUGAGGGCCUACCUUGUACUCAGGAACACCAGGAAUAAACAGAAAACAAAAAGAUAUCAUUUCUGGACUCAGUUCACCAUCUAGAGAAAAAAAAAAAAAAAAAAAAAGACCUGAAAUGGACAAAUACAGUACUGUUUGACAAAUGUCACGUAAGAAGAAGCCCAUGAUACUGAGGAUGGUAUAGGAGGGGCCGUAUCCAGGUUGAAGGAGUCAAAUAUGACAGCUGCCGUGAGAAUUACAAUCAGAAAACCAUGACCCGGAUGCUUAUCCUAUUCAUUGCUUGAGCCUGAGAACACAAACACACAGGGUGUGGCUGAAAUUCCUCUGAAAUUGUAUUGAUUUGAGAAAACUGCAAUCUUGUGUUAAAAUGUGAAUCAUACACAAGGAUGCAAAACAGUUACCGCUGACCAUAAAUCUAGGCUAUCAGAAUGGAAUCUGAUGGCUUGUCUACCAGACUGCAUUGUGAAACCAAUCAAAUGGGAGAUAGACUCACCACUUACCAAGUACCUCUGAGACACCAGGCACCCUGUGGGGUGCCCUACUCAUCAUCUUGUUUAACCAGUUGAUUGGGAAUAGCUCCAUUUUACAGAGAAAGACUGUUAGGCAGCUUUCUAAGAUGGCCCUAAUUAUUCCUUCCUUCUGGUAAUCCCCUUCCUUUAAAUGUGGGCUACACUUAAUUACCUGCUUUUAACAAACAGAAUAUAGCAAAAGUGAUGGGAUGUCAGGAGACUGAAUCAGUAACCAAAAACCUCCAGACAAAGAAAAGCCCAGGGCCAGAGGGCUUCACUGGUAAAUUUACCAAACAUUUAAAGAAGAAUUAGCACCAGUCUUUCUCAAACUCCUCAACAAAUUGAAGAGGAGAGAACACUUCUAAAUACACUUUAUGAGGCCAGCAUUACCCUAACAUCAGAGCCAGACAAAGACACAAGAAAAGAAAACUACAGACUAAUAUUUCUAAUGAAUCUUGAUGCACAAAUCCUCAAAAAAGAAGAAAACAUACUAGCAAACAUAAUUCAGCCGCACAUUAAAAGGAUUAAGCACCAUGACAAAGUGGGAUUUAUUCUUAGUAUAAAAGGAUAUUUCAACGUAAAAAAGUCAAUGUAAUAUAUCACAUUAAUAGAAUGAUGAGAAAAAAUCCACAAGAUUAUCCCAAUUGAUGCAUUUAACAAAACUUAAUACUCUUUCAUGAAAAAACACUCAACAAACCAGGAAUACAUGAAACUACCCCAACAUAAGACAGUCCACAAAUGAAAAGCUCACAACCAACAUAAUACUCAUGGUGAAAAGCUGAAAGCUUCCUCUAAGAUCAGGAAUGAGACAAAAAUGUCCACUUUUGAAUCAACCUGUAUUCAACAUAGUAUAAGAAGUCCUCGCCAGAAUUUUCAGGAAAAAAAAAAAAGAAAGAAAAAAAAGCCAGUCAAAUUGAAAAGAAAGAAGAAAAAUUAUCUUUGCUCACAAAUGACAUGAACUUAUAAAACUCCUAGAAUUAAUAAAUGGAUGCUGCAAUGUUGAAGGAUACAAAAAUCAACACACAAAAAUCAGUUAUGUUUUUAUAUACUAACAAUGAAUGAGCCAAAAAUGAAAUUAAAACAAUUCCAUUUACAAUAGCAUCAGAAAGACUAAAAUACCUAACAAUAAACUUAACCAAGGAGGUAAAAUGCUUGAGUAUUUAGACACUAAAAAUUAUAAGGCCUGCACGGUGGUUCAUACCUGUAAUCCCAGCAUUUUGGGAGGCAGGUGGAUCACUUGAGGUUAGGAGUUUGAGACCAGCCUGGCC
rnacentral:lncRNA from 10 species